rnacentral:rRNA from 1 species
UACGAAGGGUGCAAGCGUUAAUCGGAAUUACUGGGCGUAACGGGUGCGUAGGCGGUUCGUUAAGUCUGUUGUGAAAUCCCCGGGCUCAACCUGGGAAUGGCAAUGGAUACUGGCGGGCUAGAGUGUGUCAGAGGAUGGUGGAAUUCCCGGUGUAGCGGUGAAAUGCGUAGAGAUCGGGAGGAACAUCAGUGGCGAAGGCGGCCAUCUGGGACAACACUGACGCUGAAGCACGAAAGCGUGGGGAGCAAACAGG